rnacentral:rRNA from 1 species
ACUCCUACGGGAGGCAGCAGUGGGGAAUAUUGCACAAUGGGGGGAAACCCUGAUGCAGCCAUGCCGCGUGUGUGAAGAAGGCCUUCGGGUUGUAAAGCACUUUCAGUAGGGAGGAAGGUAGUGUAGUUAAACACCUGCAUUAUUUGACGUUAGCGACAGAAGAAGCACCGGCUAACUCCGUGCCAGCAGCCGCGGUAAUACGGAGGGUGCGAGCGUUAAUCGGAAUUACUGGGCGUAAAGCGCAUGCAGGUGGUUUGUUAAGUCAGAUGUGAAAGCCCGGGGCUCAACCUCGGAAUUGCAUUUGAAACUGGCAGACUAGAGUACUGUAGAGGGGGGUAGAAUUUCAGGUGUAGCGGUGAAAUGCGUAGAGAUCUGAAGGAAUACCGGUGGCGAAGGCGGCCCCCUGGACAGAUACUGACACUCAGAUGCGAAAGCGUGGGAGCAAACAGGAUUAGAUACCCUGGUAGUGUACUGU